UGGUGGCCAUGGAACAAGCAUUUCCUUGCCCAUUAUGAAGUCAUGAGCACUGAAAGACGAGGAUCAGGGAAGACAAGAAGGUUAAUGGAGACAAAGGUACCCUUCAAGGAUGCAUUUUACGAAGUCCAGGGGCUCUGGCUGUGAAGGGGACUUUGCUUGAACAAGUCACUGAAACCGUCUAUGUCUCAGCUGCCUUCAAACCACACAGAAGUGGUCGCUAGCUCACAAGAUUGUCGGAAGGAUGGAGAGAGGUGUUUUGAUUAAAAGUCUAGCACUGUGUUGCCGUGGAAGGAGCCCUCAACAUCACAUAUAUGAUGGUCAAGAAUGACUUCCCUUCCUGCCAGUUAACUGCCCCUGCCACGCCAGCCUCCUUUAAUGCACAGGAAGUUGAUAUCAUCAUAUCCAAACCAGGACAACCACAAAGCAGAAAAGCUAGCAUCAGGCAUUUUGGAAGGAAUGGAUUAGAUCUGUGGGUCAGCUACCUUUUGUUUUCCAAGGAGCACUGUGAGGGCAGAAGGAACAAGGUGGAUGCUACUGGUACAACUCUUCACUAGGGGCUUCUCUACCUGAGGACUUUCUCCAGUCACAUGAAGGCACCUGGCAUUCAGCCAGGACACACAGGAAGAGCUUGUCCCUGGAAGUAGUCACUGACCAAUUUCAAACAGGGGCCACUGGAUCAAAACCUUCUCUUCAUUGCCAGUCAAAUGUUGCCUCCCAGAGGUACGUUCUACAGUGUCUCCCCAGACAUGUCAUGUCAAGGAGCACUGAGUCCCAGGUGCCCACAGAAGCAACCUGUUCACUGACAAAUGCCACUGCUUUCCUUCCUUUGCCCAGCCCACUUCUCCAUUCCCUAAUGGUUCUUCCUGGCAUCACCUUCUAAGAAAACUACCUGCACAGAAUCUCUUGCCUUUGAAUCUUCUUCUGAGGAAACUCAACUUAAAGACAAGACGUAUGAAACUCCAUCUGCUUAGAACUAUUGGGAGGAUGAAAUAAGAUAUUUCACAUAAAGCAUUUCAGCACUGUGUCUGGCCUCUU